ensembl:lncRNA
UGUGGACAGGUAAAACAGAGGAGAUGUGGACAGGUAAAACAGAGGAGAUGUGGACAGGUAUAACAGAGGAGAUGUGGACAGGUAUAACAGAGGAGACGUGGACAGGUAAAACAGAGGAGAUGAGGACAGGUAAAACAGAGGAGAUGUGGACAGGUAUAACAGAGGAGAUGUGGACAGGUAAAACAGAGGAGACGUGGGCAGGUAUAACAGAGGAGAUGUGGACAGGUAUAACAGAGAUAGGGGACAGAUAUACCAGGCUAGGUAAGGGGAGAUGGGACAGAUACCUGUAUACCAGGCUAGAUAAGGGAAGAGGGGACAGAUAUACCAGGCUAGAUAAGGGGAGAGGGGACAUAUACCUGUAUACCAGGCUAGAUAAGGGUAGAGGGGACAGAUAUACCAGGCUAGAUAAGGGGAGAGGGGACAGAUACCUAUAUACCAGGCUAGAUAAGGGGAGAGGGGACAGAUACCUGUAUAUACCAGGCUAGAUAAGGGGG